rnacentral:lncRNA from 1 species
CGCUCGUCCGCGGGAACAUGCUCAAGAACGGCGGGUUCGAGGAGGGGCCCUACUUCCUUCCCAACGCGUCGUGGGGCGUGCUCGUGCCGCCCAACAUCGAGGACGACCACUCGCCGCUCCCGGCGUGGAUGAUCGUGUCGUCCAAGGCCGUCAAGUACGUGGACGCCGCGCACUUCAAGGUGCCCCAGGGCGCGCGCGCCGUGGAGCUGGUGGGCGGGAGGGAGAGCGCGCUGGUGCAGGAGGUGCGCACCGUGCCUGGGUGGAGCUACCGCCUCUCCUUCGCCGUCGGGGACGCCGGCGACGGCUGCACCGGGUCCAUGGUCGCCGAGGCCUUCGCGGCGCGCGCCACCGUGAAGGUGCCGUACGAGUCCAAGGGGACGGGAGGGUACAAGCGCGCCGUGCUGGACUUCACCGCUAUCGCCAACCGCACCCGCGUCGUGUUCCAGAGCACGUUCUACCACAUGAAGGCCGACGGCACGCUCUGCGGGCCACUUGUCGACGAUGCCUCGCUCGUCGGGCUGCGCAAGAAGCCCGCCGCCGGCCGCCGCCUGCUGCUGUAAGGCCUUUGUUGAUUUGCACGCGCCUCGGUCGCGCGCGGUGAUGUAAUAUGGUGGGCGUGUGGUGGGUCUAGUACUGGUAGGCGUUUUGGUUUGGUGUGCGCUUGGUAUAUGAGAUGUGUGCCGUGCCGUGCGCGCCCUGUGGUUGCGGUUGCAGUGGCGCGUGCAUGGAGUUUUUCUUGUGAAGAAGAAGGGAGGCGGUGGCCUGGCUCGAGGGUUUAUAAGACUUUUGAGUAACUUUAACGACACGGGAUUAAUGGCAAAUGUUACUAGU